UCCCGUGUAGCUUAGUCGGUAGAGCAUGGUGUUUGCAACGCCAGGGUUGUCGGUUCGAUUCCCACGGGGG
rnacentral:tRNA from 1 species